AGCAUGUGGCUGAAUCUGAAAUCAGUUAAAAAUAUGAAUUGUUUUCUCAGUAUUUUGCAUUGACUGCAGAACACCAGAAUAAAAUACAAAGAAGUGCAAGAUAUGAAGGUUAACCACUUUCCUCUAAUGUUGAAAGAAACUCAUUUGAUAUCGUCCCUUGCAAAAUUCAAAAGUAAACAUUAUUAGUUCUUUUUAACUGAGUAGAGCAGGAUCUGCCAUACUACCUUCAAUGACUUAAAAUAGCGGAGCUACUCAGUGAAAAUGAUCAGAACUCACAAGGUUGAAUAUCUAUCCUAAAAAAGAGAAGAGACUUAAAGAAUAAGGGAAAUCAUUUAAAGGAACACAGUGAAAACCUUCGGACAAGCAGAAGAUGACCAGAAGUCAGCUAGAAGAGACCACACUCAGGAACACAGUGAAAACCUUCGGACAAGCAGAAGAUGACCAGAAGUCAGCUAGAAGAGACCACACUCAG